rnacentral:snRNA from 1 species
AUCACUUCACUGCCUUUUGGCUAAGAUCAAGUGCAGUAUCUGUUCUUAUUAGUUUAAUCUGAUACAUCCUCUGCAUGAGGACUACAUAUUAAAAGCGCGGUGGCUAGCGCUGUCGCCUCACAGCGAGGAGGGCCUGGGUUCGAUUCCCC